GGGGGUUGGGGGCGUUGUGAAUUUUCAUGUAAAAGAUUUCAAGUCCAGAAUUCCCAACUUUUCGGAAGAUGGAGUGUAACAUGAGAUGAGAGAUGAUGAGCAAAGCUGAUCAACGUCAAACCACGUAGCUGAAGGACCUGCCAGGAGCAAACCAACUCAAGCUCGCGAUUCUGGGAAGUUGAAUGAAUGUUUUGGUUUCAGAUGUUAUUUUGAGUGGAUGAACAGAAGAGCACUAUGACUGCUGGAGCCCAGAAUGGCCGUGUUGUUCCCUACGAGAUCCUGGUGGAGAUCUUCUCGCAGCUGUCCUUCUCUGAUGUGCUGGCGGCCGGCCUGGUGUGCCGGCUGUGGCACGACGUCAGCAGUGCCGUCCUGCUGCGCUCGCGCAC
rnacentral:lncRNA from 1 species